UACGUAGGUGGCAAGCGUUGUCCGGAUUUAUUGGGCUUAAAGGGUGCGUAGGCGGCCCUGUAAGUCAGUGCUGAAAUAUCCCGGCUUAACCGGGAGGGUGGCAUUGAUACUGCAGGGCUUGAGUAAAGUUGAGGUAGGCGGAAUUGACGGUGUAGCGGUGAAAUGCUUAGAUAUCGUCAAGAACACCGAUAGUGUAGACAGCUUACUAAGCUUUAACUGACGCUGAGGCACGAAAGUGUGGGGAUCAAACAGG
rnacentral:rRNA from 1 species